rnacentral:piRNA from 1 species
UGAAAAAAAGAAUUGGUGCGCGUUAAUUUA